UACAGAGGGUGCAAACGUUGCUCGGAAUUACUGGGCGUAAAGCGCGUGUAGGCGGUUUCGCGAGUCCGAUGUGAAAGCCCGGGGCUCAACCCCGGAAGUGCAUUGGAUACUACGAAGCUUGAGUGCUGGAGAGGAAAGCGGAAUUCCCGGUGUAGAGGUGAAAUUCGUAGAUAUCGGGAGGAACACCAGUGGCGAAGGCGGCUUUCUGGACAGACACUGACGCUGAUACGCGAAAGCGUGGGGAUCAAACAGG
rnacentral:rRNA from 1 species